rnacentral:lncRNA from 1 species
CUCAGUCAGGGCACAGAAUCCGCAGGGGAAGGAAGGGCUGGUGUUGGCGUGCGAUGGAGCUCUCGGCUGGGGUGUGGGAUGAGGUGUUCCCGAGGCGACGGAUGAGGGAUGUUGGCUGUGUGGGAAGGGAACUGCGGAAUUCCUCCCCUUGGAUUGUGAGGGGGGUUCUGAAAGAGGCAGAUUAGGAUGCGGAGAGCGCGGCCCAGGCUGCCGAGGGCGAGAAGACGAGCCAAGGACACCGGCCCGGGCGCGCUUCGGGGACGCCCGGCGUGGACUGCGUUCCCUCGCCUUCCCAGCCACCCUCGGGCCAGCCAGUUCUCUCGGGGCGGUGGGUCCAGUGAACCCACCCCGUACCCUUACACCCCGUCUGCAGAUUGACGGAACCCGGGGACCACCCUAGCAGAGGAAGACCACUCUUCCCCUUCGCAAGCCCCUGGCCACAGUGGGCAAUAGGCGGCCGCGGCCGCGGCGCGCGGCCUCGAUCCGGGUUCCUGGGGGCGGCG